CGCGGCAAGUACUAGCUGGAUCUAGUAAGGAACCAUUGGGUCUCGGCACCAACGUCCAAUGCUCUCUAGAGUACUUCCAACUGUAAGAUUCCGCUAAAGUCAAGAUCCUAUGUUAUAUCCUGAAAGCAUAAAAGUUAUCCAGUUUGGUGGAAUGCCUCAGUGGAAAUUCAUGUGAAAUUGUGCACUCGGAAUCUGUUUGUGAUGGUUAUUUAAUCCGUAUGUAACUAUCUUGUGACUCGGGCUCCGGGGGUACUGGUUGAGUGCAUUUUGGUGUAAAAGUUUCACGUUUCGCAUACUUCAGUGGUAAAAGAUUGCUAGUGCGAAGAUAAGCUCCUCCGGAAAAUCUUGGAAGGCGUGAGAAAGGAUUUAGUGAUAUAGUAUUUUUGAAAGUUUUAAUGGUUCAGUGAUUUUCGAUGAAAUCUUGUGUUAUAGUUGAAAUGUUUAAAUAGUGUCAGUGGAUACCAAAAAAUUAAAUUCCAAUUCCGUUGUCACUCUGAAAUCUUCUUCGAAUCAGGACGUUAGAGAAUUUAGCAGCUCUUAAAUUAGACUGCUGUAAUUUCGAUGCUGAACGUGGCCGCAUUUCAAGAUGUGUAAAGACUGUGCUCAUCCGAUUUAAAGGCGAGAAUAAAUUCAGUUUAAAAGCAGAGGGAGAAAAAAUGCGGGAAAUUAGUGUCCAAAGUCAACAUACCCUGUAUUCCGGUUCGUGUGUUGGUUAUUCAAAUUAAACAAUUUUAAUGCGAAAAAUCGUCAGCAGCCAUGGACAUUCAUAUAUUGGAGAGUCCCAUUUCAUUGCCGAUGAAUUUCAAUUCAAUAAUGCACCAUCUGAUAUUCGAAUAAAAAUUUUCCGAUAAAAUGGAGGUCAACAUGGAUGACAAUUCAUCACUGACAACGGACUACUAUAGCUAUUAUUGGAAUAUCACAGAUUACUACAGCACAGAUAAUUAUAACUAUGUUUCGACGACGAGCAACAGCACCAACUCCAGCUUUGCCCAGGCAAAUAUGUUCAUAUUGCCGUGGUGGCGCCAGCUCUUGUGGAGUAUCUUGUUUGGCGGCAUGGUCAUUGUGGCAACUGGAGGCAACCUCAUCGUCAUUUGGAUAGUCCUCGCCCACAAGCGGAUGCGAACGGUCACGAACUACUUUAUAGUGAACUUAUCUAUAGCUGAUGCCAUGGUUUCCACCCUCAAUGUCACUUUUAACUACAUCUACAUGCUGUAUGCCGACUGGCCAUUUGGAACGUUGUAUUGCAAAAUAGCACAAUUCGUAGCGAUCCUCAGUAUAUGUGCCUCCGUGUUCACGCUAAUGGCUAUAUCUAUUGACAGAUACAUGGCCAUCAUGAAUCCCCUACGACCUAGAAUGGGCAAAAGGAGUACUCUGUGUAUAGCGGGUGCAAUAUGGGUGCUCGGGAUUAUUUUAUCAUGCCCGAUGUUGGUAUUUUUUACGACGUACAAUGAAGUGUUGAACAAUGGAAAAAUUAGGGUAGUUUGUUAUGCUGAAUGGCCGGAUGGACCAACUAAUCAUUCAUUACAGGAAUAUGUAUACAACGUUGUGUUUAUGUUUCUAACGUACUUUUUACCAAUUGGGUCCAUGACUUUCACAUAUGCCCGCGUUGGACUGGAGCUUUGGGGUUCACAAAGUAUCGGUGAAUGUACCCAGAGGCAAUUGGAUAAUAUUAAGAGCAAGCGCAGGGUUGUUAAGAUGAUGAUGGUCGUAGUAGUUAUUUUCGCUGUAUGCUGGCUACCAUUCCAUAUUUAUUUUAUAGUAACUUCAUAUUAUCCUGAAAUAACAAGCCUGCCGUAUAUCCAGGAGUUCUACUUAGCUAUCUAUUGGCUGGCGAUGAGCAAUUCCAUGUACAAUCCAAUGAUUUAUUGUUGGAUGAAUUCCAGAUUUCGUCGGGGAUUUAAACAGUUUUUUUGUUGGUGUCCUUUCGUUAAACUCACUCCGGAAACAUUACAACGACGGGAAGUCCUAACCUCGCGGUAUUCAUGUUCUGGAUCACCUGAUCAUCAUCGAAUUGUAAGAAACGACACUGAAAGGUCUUUUCUGUAUACGUGUCCGGGCUCGCCGAAACACCGAAGGAUGUCACAUGGCGAUGUCCUCAUAUCACUCAACGAUUUUAAUUUCUUAUCUACGGUGAUGUGAACAGAGAGGAUAAUUUUGAACUCUUCGGAAUUUUCAUUUUAUGUCAAGUCUUGAUGAAGGCCGAAGAAAUUGAAAAGUACCAGGGAUUUUCCAAGGCAUAAGUGGUCUUAACAGAAUAUGCGGAGUUGAUGAUAAGAAUAAAUGACGAUUGAAAUAGGGGACUGGACUGAGGACGAUCGAUGAAGAAAACUCCCUUUCCUGAUGGACUGGUGCCGACAUAAGGCGUCCACUUUUAAUUGAUGCAAAGGAAAGCAAUACUAAGAAAAUCAUUUGGAGCAAUUGUCUUUUCCGCUAGAAAGCUAAUAUUUGCCAUUCA
rnacentral:misc_RNA from 1 species